rnacentral:rRNA from 1 species
AGGACGAACGCUGGCGGCGUGCUUAAUACAUGCAAGUCGAGGGACGAAACCAAGAUGGGCAACCAUCGAGGCUGAAACCGGCGAACGGGUGAGUAACACGUGGGUAACGCACCCCAGACACAGGAACAACAACGGGAAACCGUUGCUAAUGCCUGAUAACCCCUGCUUACCGCAUGGCGGGCAGGGCAAAAGCUCCGGCGGUCUGGGACCGGCCCGCGUCCUAUCAGCUUGUUGGUGGGGUAAUGGCCUACCAAGGCGAUGACGGGUAGCUGGCGUGAGAGCGUGACCAGCCACACUGGGACUGAGACACGGCCCAGACUCCUACGGGAGCAGCAGUAGGGAAUCUUGCACAAUGGGCGAAAGCCUGAUGCAGCGACGCCGCGUGAGGGAUGGAC